rnacentral:rRNA from 1 species
UACGUAGGGUGCGAGCGUUAAUCGGAAUUACUGGGCGUAAAGGGUGCGCAGGCGGUUAUAUAAGACAGAUGUGAAAUCCCCGGGCUCACCUGGGAACUGCGUUUGUGACUGUAUGACUAGAGUACGGUAGAGAGGGGUGGAAUUCCUGGUGUAGCAGUGAAAUGCGUAGAUAUCAGGAGGAACAUCGAUGGCGAAGGCAGCCCCUUGGACC